rnacentral:misc_RNA from 1 species
AACGCACAUUGCGCCCUUUGGUAUUCCGAAGGGCAUGCCUGUUCGAGCGUCAUUAUCAACCCUCAAGCCUGGCUUGUUGUUGGACCUCAGGUCGCCGCUCCGGCGGACCGGUCUCAAAGACAAUGACGGCGUCCGUGGGACCCUCGGUGCAAUGAGCUUCUUCCAAAGCACGCAUCAGAGUGGGCUCGCGGGGGCCGUCUCCCCGUCAUAUUUUAUCAAGGUUGACCUCGGAUCAGGUAGGAAUACCCGCUGAACUUAA